GUGCCAGCAGCCGCGGUAAUACGUAGGGCGCAAGCGUUGUCCGGGAAUUAUUGGGCGUAAAGAGCUCGUAGGCGGUUUGUCGCGUCUGGUGUGAAAACUCAAGGCUCAACCUUGAGCUUGCAUCGGGUACGGGCAGACUAGAGUGCGGUAGGGGAGACUGGAAUUCCUGGUGUAGCGGUGGAAUGCGCAGAUAUCAGGAGGAACACCGAUGGCGAAGGCAGGUCUCUGGGCCGCAACUGACGCUGAGGAGCGAAAGCAUGGGGAGCGAACAGGAUUAGAUACCCUGGUAGUCC
rnacentral:rRNA from 1 species